UCCUCGUUAGUAUAGUGGUCAGUAUCCCCGCCUGUCACGCGGGAGACCGGGGUUCGAUUCCCCUACGGGGAG
rnacentral:tRNA from 1 species